AGUGAACGCUGGCGGUAGGCCUAACACAUGCAAGUCGAACGGCAGCACAGUAAGAGCUUGCUCUUACGGGUGGCGAGUGGCGGACGGGUGAGGAAUACAUCGGAAUCUACUUUUUCGUGGGGGAUAACGUAGGGAAACUUACGCUAAUACCGCAUACGACCUACGGGUGAAAGCAGGGGAUCUUCGGACCUUGCGCGAUUGAAUGAGCCGAUGUCGGAUUAGAUAGUUGGCGGGGUAAAGGCCCACCAAGGCGACGAUCCGUAGCUGGUCUGAGAGGAUGAUCAGCAACACUGGAACUGAGACACGCCCAAGACUCCUACGGGAGGCAGAAGGGGGAAUAUUGGACAAUGGGCGCAAGCCUGAUCCAGCCAUACCGCGUGGGUGAAGAAGGCCUUCGGGUUGUAAAGCCCUUUUGUUGGGAAAGAAAAGCAGCAGGUUAAUACCCCGCUGUUCUGACGGUACCCAAAGAAUAAGCACCGGCUAACUUCGUG
rnacentral:rRNA from 1 species